rnacentral:lncRNA from 1 species
GCUUACGUCAGUGGAAACGGAAGUGGCGUCCGAAGCUUGGCUUCCCGGGACGUACGGUCAGAGAAUUGGCAUUUGUGUGACAGGUCGACUCCGGAUCGCCCCCGUAGGCGGUGCAGCGAGGCGUUGGAAGAGCCAGUGAGCAAAGGAGCCCAUCUGGAUGCUGGCUUCCUAGAAUGAGUCCACUCCUAUAAAGAGGGGGAAACAAAGUAGAGCUCAAGCCCAGAAAUUCAUCCUUGCUGAAGGAUACCAUUGAUGAGACACCAUUACGAGGAUUUCAGGACAGAUCCUAAAAGUGGUGACUA